rnacentral:rRNA from 1 species
CAGCGACUUAUAUUCUGUAGCAAGGUUAACCGUAUAGGGGAGCCGCAGGGAAACCGAGUCUUAACUGGGCGUUAAGUUGCAGGGUAUAGACCCGAAACCCGGUGAUCUAGCCAUGGGCAGGUUGAAGGUUGGGUAACACUAACUGGAGGACCGAACCGACUAAUGUUGAAAAAUUAGCGGAUGACUUGUGGCUGGGGGGUGAAAGGCCAAUCAAACCGGGAGAUAGCUGGUUCUCCCCGAAAGCUAUUUAGGUAGCGCCUCGUGAACUCAUCUUCGGGGGUAGAGCACUGUUUCGGCUAGGGGGUCAUCCCGACUUACCAACCCGAUGCAAACUACGAAUACCGAAGAAUGUUAUCACGGGAGACACACGGCGGGUGCUAACGUCCGUCGUGAAGAGGGAAACAACCCAGACCGCCAGCUAAGGUCCCAAAGUCAUGGUUAAGUGGGAAACGAUGUGGGAAGGCACAGACAGCCAGGAUGUUGGCUUAGAAGCAGCCAUCAUU